rnacentral:lncRNA from 1 species
CCGUAAUGCAGGGAUGAUUCGAUGAUGUGGAUUAUUUAUUAAGCUGAGUCUCAGCGAUAAAAUAUUGAUUAUACACUUUUAAUUCGUAAAAGAUAGUAGAUAUCAUGCUCUACUUGACUCUUCUAAAAUACAGUUGUAUGUCUUUGACCUGUAGUGCAAAGAUGAAUUGUUAAUGAAUAUCUUUGGCCGUAGUGCAAAGAUGAAUUUAUUAGUAUGAUUAUGAGCAGGAAUUGUGAUUUGGUAUAACCAUGAUUUUU